rnacentral:rRNA from 1 species
AUUGAACGCUGGCGGCAUGCCUUACACAUGCAAGUCGAACGGUAACAGGUCUUCGGAUGCUGACGAGUGGCGCACGGGUGAGUAAUACAUCGGAACGUGCCCGAUCGUGGGGGAUAACGAGGCGAAAGCUUUGCUAAUACCGCAUACGAUCUACGGAUGAAAGCGGGGGAUCUUCGGACCUCGCGCGGACGGAGCGGCCGAUGGCAGAUUAGGUAGUUGGUGGGAUAAAAGCUUACCAAGCCGACGAUCUGUAGCUGGUCUGAGAGGAUGAUCAGCCACACUGGGACUGAGACACGGCCCAGACUCCUACGGGAGGCAGCAGUGGGGAAUUUUGGACAAUGGGCGAAAGCCUGAUUCAGCCAUGCCGCGUGCAGGAUGAAGGCCUUCGGGUUGUAAACUGCUUUUGUACGGAACGAAAAGCCUCUUUCUAAUAAAGAGGGGUCAUGACGGUACCGUAAGAAUAAGCACCGGCUAACUACGUG